AUGGAGAUAAAUGGAAGCCCGGGCUCUGGUUCACUGCCGGUGCAGGCAGAAACUAUCUUUUGGGAAGCACCUCGCACGGAGCGAAACUUCAGGGAGAGGCUCGGCUCGGGUCUGGUCUCGUCUUCAAGCUCGGGCCUGGUGCCGGGACCAGGACCGGCGGCCCCCCUUCACGGAGGAGGGCCAGCAGCUGGAGGCGCCGUGUCCUGGUCGUCUUCAACCGGCGUGGGUGGCGAGCCCCCGUCGCGGCCCAGCGCCCACUGGGACGACCCCCACUUCAGGCCCCGCUUCGACAACAGCACCGACCGGAACGUGACAGCCCAGUUGGGGAAGUCGGCCUUCCUGCGCUGCAGGAUCGCGCAGCUCGGUGACAGAACGGUGUCGUGGGUGCGCCAGCGCGACCUGCACAUCUUGACGGUGGGCACCUAUACGUACACGUCGGACCAGCGGUUCCAUUCGAUCCACCUGGAGGGCUCCGAGGACUGGACCCUGGAGGUGCGCUACACCCAGAAGGGGGACGCCGGUGUCUACGAGUGUCAGAUAUCCACCGAACCCAAGAUGAGCCUCAACGUCUCGCUCGCCCUCGUCGUGGCCAAGGCGCGCAUCCCGGAGGGCUCCAACCUGUACAUCCAGAGCGGCAACAUCAUCAACCUGACGUGCGUGGUGACGGACAGCCGGGCGCCCCCGGUCUACGUGUUUUGGUACCACGACGACCGCAUGAUCAACUACGACUCGUCGAGGACGGCUGGCAUCCGUGUGGCCACGGAGAGGGGGCCCUCGACCACCGUGUCCAGGCUCCAGGUGCCCGACGCCGCCACGGGAGACUCGGGCAACUACUCGUGCAUCCCGUCGUACGCGGACCCGGCAUACAUUACCGUGCACGUGCUCAACGGUACGGCAUACUGUUCACGCGACUGAAGAGACGAUUCACCCUAUACAAGGGGAAAAACCCGCAGCGAUGCAGCACGGCCGCCAGGGAAACCUCAGUGAGCGGUCUCUAUCGUCGCUGCAUCUCGUCACGGGAGCGCUGAUGUUAUACCGAGUCUUCAUUCACGUCGUGGUGCAGCGAUAG